rnacentral:sRNA from 1 species
UAUUUCUUCUCUCUUCUGUCAUAUUCUC